GAUGAUGAUCUAUUUGAUAGUUAAAAGGAAAAAAGUGCGAGUCCUUUUCCAGGCAAACUUAAUUGUCGCGGUGUUAUUUAUAUGCACGAUCUAAGCUGCGCUGUUAGCGUUCGAGGCGAAACCGACGUAAAAACCAAUAUUAAUCUUCACCAUUGACUGUUCAAACCGAUUACUUCAUUACGGAAGCUAUACUCAGGCACUGUAUCUUUAAUGCGCAUUAUUUUGUUCUCUUGACCGUUCCUACUUAGUGAAAACGUGAAAAAAAACACCACAAUAGGUUUUCUGGAAACGUCCAGCAAAACGGAGGUGUGCAGGGCAUCCAGCUGAACAGCGUCGGUAAAGGUGGCUCUGUGAGAUGAUCUGCAUGCCCAGCUGAACGCAGCGCUGCCGCAGUGACGCGCUCAUUUGACAGAGUUUCCAAAAAAGCAGAACGGGACCAUUGGAUUUGUAGUCCGCGGUUAACACAGGCCGGACUGUGUUCUCAUGAUGCCGCCGUCAUUGGGCCUUUUCACACAUGACAUCGCUGCAACAAUCAAACACCGGGCAAAGCUGAAAGGGGGUCCGGAGCCUAUCCCGGAAGCAAUGGGCACGAGGCAGGGAACAACCCAGGAUGGAGGGCCAGCCCGUCACAGGGCACACUCACACACCAUUCACUCACAUAUGCACACCUAUGCAUUUAGCAACUCCAAGUAGCCUCAGCAUGUUUUUGGACUGUGGGGGGAAACCCCACGGCGACAUGGGGAGAACAUGCAAACUCCACACACAUGUGACCCAGGCAGAGACUCGAACCCAGGUCCCAGAGGUGUGAGGCAACAGUGCUAACCACUGCACCACCAUGCCGCCCCUAUAUAUGUAUAUAUACACGUAUAAUCAAACGGCUGCAUAACAAUUUGAAAAACAAUUUAUCAUAAGUGUACAAAAUUAUAAACUUAUGUUAGUAGUAUAUGCGACAAUAGGGAGAUCUGGUUCUCCAAUAUAAUGAAGAUAAAUAUAUGCAUUGCUGUGCAAAAGUCUUAAGCAGUCAAAUACAAUGAUGAUUAAAUGAUCUUCCUGUUUGUGUAAAACUUUGAUAUUAUGCCUGUAAAGGCUGCCAGCUCGCCCAUUUCGAAACCUCUCCCUAAAGUAACCAUAGUAUUUGCAGCAACUAUCCAGUACACCCAUGUAUUUUUUGACUUGACCACUAGCAGACCUCACAUGGCUGAUCAAAACCUCUUUAAAAUACUACUUUAGUUAAUUAAUGAAGUAAGCCGGUGCUGACAUUGAAUAAAUACAAAGCAAUGGUUGGAUGCCCCUAAGGAGAGGUUUGGGAACUGAAGCGAUGCUCUUCUAGCCAUCCAAGGAGAUAUCAGUAACUUUUUGCAGAACAGAAGAAAUUCCUGUUUGUUUUUAUUGUUACUCUUAAUUUGCAUAUGUUCUAUUAUUAAAAAAUAGCUUUAAACAUUUUAAACAAAACAUACUUGUGGUCUUGGCAAGACUGUUGUUGCUAGCAUGCCUCCCAAGGAUGAACUUGGAGCACAGUGAAUCAUGGGAUUGGUCCUGUUUAGAGAGGAUGCAAACAUGGCAUCCUUGAUAUUGGAAGCAGGGCAAGAACGACAACUGGGGAUUUUUACCAUCCUCUGCACUUCUGUUCUUAGUAUUGGAACUGGUCUUCCGCAAUGGAAGAUGAUGUAAAAUGGGUGCAUGAGAAUACAAGUAUGGUCAAGUAUGCAUGCUGCGAAACAUCCAUAGUCUCUUCAGUGUGUCCUGAAUAAGCCCCAGGAUCUCCUCAUGAUUGGACUUGCCUGAAGCACCUACCCAGGGAGGUGUUCAAGAUGCAUUCUAAAUAGAUUCCUUUGAUUUCAUGAUCUCAUUCUUUCAGUCACUACCCAAAGCCCAUGACCAUAAGUAAGGGUAGGAACACAGAUCGGCCAGUAAAUCAAUAGCUUUGCUUUCCGACUCAGCUCUCUCUUCACCACAACAGACUAGUACAACAUCCACAUGACUGAUGACGUUGCACCAUCCUUCCUUCACUUGUGAACGAGACCCCAAGAUGCAUACACUCCUCUGCUCCAGGAAGCAACUCAUCCCUAGGUGACAAUCCUACCUUCUCCAUUUGAGGACCAUGACCUCAGACUUGGAGGUGCUGAUCCUCAUUCCGUUCACAUUUGCCUGCAAACAAUUGCACUGCAUGCAGAAAUCCGCAGCUUGAUGACGCCAACAGGGUCACAUCAUUUGAAAAAAAGCAAAGAUCUGAUCCUGAGGUCACUACACCAGACCCCCUCCACCCUUCACUACACCUAGAAGUUCUGUCUAUAAAAGUUAUGAACAGAUUUAGUGACAAAGGGCAGCCCAACCUUCACUCGCUAUGUUUACAUGCAUAGCUAAGUUGAGCUACGGUAAUAGCUUGACUAAUCCAUUUAAUUGGACUACUGUCCUUGUCCCAGUAUACAUGCAUGGGAGGGGAAUCAAUUUAUUGACCGAAGUAUGUUUGACUCCACUACAGCAGGUAGCGAAAUGGCUUCUUUCAGUUUGUUAGUAUUGGGCUUUUACCGGUUGAACUAUUACGUCACAGAUGUAAAAAAAAUAAAAUGAGUAAUAGGUGCAUUGGACAAAUGACAUGACAGAAGCUUUAAUUACAAUCUGAUCGGAAGAACAGAUACAACAAGAGCAGGAUCGAAAUGAAGUAUUUUGUAUAAUAUACUAUGACAGCGCGGUAUUGGAAAUUUUUCAAAUAUUGCAAUGGGAUUUUGUUGUAAUAAAGAUUGGGGUAUUUACGAAACAAAAAAGGAAUUCAAAAUAAAUGACUCACGAAUCCAUCUAGAAGUGAUUUAAACAGCAAGGAUGAAAAUGAUUUUUAUUGUCUCGGAGAACGCAUGAAGCACUCAUGCAAAAGCAGCGGACGUAAACUUUAAACUGAUUUUUAAACAUUUACUAGAUAAUCUUGAAGAGGAAUAAUCAAUAAAAUUGAAAAAACUUACUAGGUUUUUUUCCUAUGACAGAGUCAAACCAUUUUAGCAAGACCUAAAUUCCCUGCACUAUAAAAUCCAUACCAAACUGAAGGUAAGAAAAAGCCUAAUCUUAAUAUAGCUGACUAGCGACGUAAGAAUUGGAUGUGCAUAACAUGCGAUGUUGGUAUUAAUAUCGCACAUUGUCCAGCCCUUUAAUAUACUACAGCAAUUUUUUUAAUUCAGUACAAAAUACCCCACCUCGCGUUGUGAUGUCAUUCUGCGCUGGUACCAGCUUAUAUGUCAGUGGAAAACCAAUGAAACCUUGAAAUUCCAUACUUUUGGUACCUUCCGUACCAAAAGUACGGUGCCAGGUACGGUGGAAAAGUGCCCUUUAGUUGAGCGGUGAAUUGGACAGCUUUACAGCGCUGUACAUCUCAUACGUGCCGUACGUCCUCUGCUACACUCCAAGCUUCUUCUGUGACUUCAGGUCAAAGUCCAGGAGGGAAACUGUGGAGCAUGUGCUGAGUGCCUAGGCCAGUUUGAGUCCGAUUUAACGUAUACGUGCCAGAGUAAAUCGACUCCCAAUCUCAUCUUAGUCUGAUUUUGAGAAAUUCGAUUUAGUGCGAUUUCAGUCAGACUAACAUGUUUUCAUGUACUUUAAAACUCUGGUUUUAAUCACAAUGAUUCGAUUUUCUUAGUGUGCAUGUACUGUAAAUGUACUGACAGUGAACAAGUAUGGCUUACUGCCUGGAAUGCAAACUAAACUCUCAAUUUGGUUAUAUAGGGACCUAAUGGUCUGUAACAAUGGACCUUGCACCCCGUAUUCUUGAAGAACCAUAGAUCGAACCCCCAAAUGAACAUGGUCAUAUGUCAAAAGUCCAAAAAACAUAUGUAGGCUGGUUGGGUAAACUCUCGUGAACUAUCUGGUAUCCUUGCGAGUGGAAAAAGCUGGUCCAGUGUACCGCGACCAGGAUAGAAUCCGCAUUCUGGAUCUGAGACUUGACCAACAGAUGGAAUCUCUUCUCCAGUAGAUUCUGGAGUGUGAUCCCCCUGGAGCUGGAACUCAUCCUCCAGUUCCCUAUCUUAAAGACUGGGAGCACCAACCCAGUCAAUUGUGACAGUGCAGGUCCAGAAGACACUGUCCCAACAAACAGAGUAAAGAAUCGCGGACCCCUGUUUGAGCCCCUCAGGCUGCCCAGAGCAAAGCAAAACCACAAGAAAAUAACAUACCAUAACAGCUGAGCUCAUCAUGAUAUGCAUUUGGAAGAUUUAAUAUAAAAAUGGCCUCAGACUUUCUUUACAAAUGGGGAACAGGACUUUUGGCCUGCCCUAGGUAAUUGUAGGGGCUUGGGCCCCCCAAACCCAUAGUUAGCACUAACCAGUUCGCUACGCCCUGGGUCUCUAACAACUAGCACUGCACAGUUAGUGGAGGAUUUUAUCCUAAAGUAGAUGCUGAUAGUCUUCAUAAAUGGGGGACAGAUGAGGGGAAUGCUUUGCAUGUUUUCGUAAUCUCAAUUUGUAACAGUUCUCUGUAAUCGACUAUGGUCACAAUCUGCUUCUUUUGUAAUCUUUAUAUCCUACUGUACUGUGUGGUUUAUAUGUUCAUGAUA